rnacentral:rRNA from 1 species
UACGUAGGGGGCAAGCGUUGUCCGGAUUUAUUGGGCGUAAAGAGCGUGUAGGCGGUUUGGUAGGUCCGUUGUGAAAACUCGAGGCUCAACCUCGGGACGCCGGCGGAAACCAUCAGGCUAGAGUCCGGAAGAGGAGAGUGGAAUUCCUGGUGUAGCGGUGAAAUGCGCAGAUAUCAGGAAGAACACCCGUGGCUAAGGCGGCUCUCUAGUACGGUACUGACGCUGAGACGCGAAAGCGUGGGGAGCGAACAGG